GGCUUGGCUCUGUUGGUCAGAGCCUGGUGCUGAUAAAGCCAAGGUUGGGGGUUCAAUCCCCAUAGGGGCCA
rnacentral:tRNA from 1 species